rnacentral:rRNA from 1 species
UACGGAGGAUGCAAGCGUUAUCCGGAUUCAUGGGGUUUAAAGGGUGCGCAGGCUGUAAAGCAAGUCAGUGGUGAAAGCCCUGGGCUUAACUCAGGGAUUGCCAUUGAAACUGUUNUACUAGAGUGUAGUAGAGGACGGCGGAAUGAGUUGUGUAGCGGUGAAAUGCAUAGAUAUAACUCAGAACACCUAUUGCGUAGGCAGCUGUCUAUACUACAACUGACGCUGAGGCACGAAAGCGUGGGGAGCGAACAGGAUUAGAUACCCUGGUAGUCCACGCUGUAAACGAUGAUCACUCGUUGUUGGCUACUUAGUAGUCAGUGACCAAGGGAAACCGAUAAGUGAUCCACCUGGGGAGUACGUCGGCAACGAUGAAACUCAAAGGAAUUGACGGGGGCCCGCACAAGCGGAGGAACAUGUGGUUUAAUUCGAUGAUACGCGAGGAACCUUACCUGGGCUUAAAUGCUGGCUGCAUUGGAGGGAAACCUUCAUUUCCUACGGGACCGCCAGCAAGGUGCUGCAUGGUUGUCGUCAGCUCGUGCCGUGAGGUGUCGGGUUAAGUCCCACAACGAGCGCAACCCCUAUCGCUAGUUGCCAGCAUGUAAUGGUGGGGACUCUAGCGAGACUGCCGGUGUAAACCGGAGGAAGGUGGGGAUGACGUCAAAUCAGCACGGCCCUUACGUCCAGGGCUACACACGUGUUACAAUGGCCGGUACAAAGAGCAGCCACCUGGCGACAGGGCGCUAAUCUCUAAAACCGGUCUCAGUUCGGAUCGAAGUCUGCAAUUCGACUUCGUGAAGGUGGAUUCGCUAGUAAUCGCGCAUCAGCCAUGGCGCGGUGAAUAAGUUCCCGGGCCUUGUACACACCGCCCGUCAAGCCAUGGAAGUCGGGGGUACCUGAAGUCCGUA